rnacentral:rRNA from 1 species
GCGUGGAUGAUGAAGGUCUUAGGAUUGUAAAAUCCUUUCAGCGGGGACGAUAAUGACGGUACCCGCAGAAGAAGCCCCGGCUAACUUCGUGCCAGCAGCCGCGGUAAUACGAAGGGGGCUAGCGUUGCUCGGAAUUACUGGGCGUAAAGGGAGCGUAGGCGGAUCGUUUAGUCAGGGGUGAAAUCCCGGGGCUCAACCUCGGAACUGCCUUUGAUACUGGCGAUCUUGAGUAUGGGAGAGGUGUGUGGAACUCCGAGUGUAGAGGUGAAAUUCGU